UCCCGCCGCACUGCGGGCGGGUCGGCGGCUGCGCUCGUUCACACGGCCGGAGGAGCGGAGGAGCGGAGGAGCGGAGGCGAUGCUCCCCGAGGACUCCUCGGGGGCUGCGGUCCUCUUCAGGGCAACUUCCGGCUGCCCUACCCGUGGAGCUUCCGCGAAACCUAACGUGGCGGGAACCUCGGUUCCGCCCGAGUACUGGGCGACCGGGCCGGAAGGGCGGGCUUUGGAUGCCACCCUGCCUUCCGUGGGCGCCGCUCUCGACGGCCUAGCCAAUCGCAGGCCACGCCGUGUCGCAGCAGCCAAUCGGAGAGGCCCGGAGCCUUCAAGCCCCUCCGCGGGCCCCGCCCUCGCCUCGCACCGCUCGGCUUCUUUUGUUAGCGCGCCCGGGUGUUGCUCCCGCCUGAUCCUGCUCGCGUGCGAUCCGGCGCCAUCGCGCCUUGGGCGAGCCUUGGCAUGGGAAGGAGAGAGCGGAGCGAGCUGACGCCGAAGUGGCGCUGGCGAUGGUGGCGCUUGCGCUGGAGGACCGGUCGGAGAAUGGCGCCAGGAGACGGCUCACGGAUGACGCAGGAGGUUUUGGUGUGACCCGGCGCUAUGUCUGUGAUACCACCCAGGAGCUUGACCGAGGAUGCCCCGGAAUCCUAAUUUAGCGAACCUCUUUUCUGAAGACGUUUUGCCCUGAUGAGGAAGAGGAGGAGAGAUUGUUCUUGGUGAUGUCUGGAAGAGACGUGGCUUUGGAAGAUGAUAUGAAAUACACAGGAAAGGAAAGAAAAGGAUUUUUGCUUGAGUACCAUUUGCAAACUUACUCAAUAAUUUGAAGAUUUAUAUAAGGGCCUGUUGAAAGGUGGUGUGUCCCUUCCUUCUCUAAGGAAAGUGCUCGUCACAGCCUGAUGACCACAGCAGCGAGAGAACUGACUCCUGGCGUUGUCUUCUGACCACACAGACACAAUAAGAAAAUAAAUCUUUAAAAAUCAAGAUAGUAAGACAAACAUUAGAAUGCUGCUGUUUUAUUGAAAUAUCUAUUUGUAACGGUAUGCUGCGUGUUUGCGGUCCCCUCAGAGUGCCGCUGGAGUUGCAGACAGUUGUGAGCUGCCUGGGGUGGGUGCUGUAAGCUGAACUUGGGCCUCUGGAAGAGCAACAUGGUCUCUUAAGUUCUGGGUCAUCUUCCAGCGCAACUUUUUGUGAAUGAAUUUGAAUUCGUUUGCAUUGUGGAGAAAAAGCAAGAAUGAGGGGUGCUGUGUUGGAAUGUUGUGACUGCUGCCAAUCAAAGUGAACUGUAACUUCCUGAUGGAGGGCUGGCCGAGAGUCAGGCAUAACUAGUCAGAAGUGUCCUCAUUUACAGUUCAGAAACCAUGCCAAAUGAGGGUGGCUGCCCAAUAAAAACAGCCCGUUGGUCCUCAGACCCAAUUCUACCAUCAUCUUAAUAAACAUCAUUUUCUACUA